GACGAACCGUGCGAACGUUAUUCGGAAUCACUGGGCUUAAAGCGCGUGUAGGCGGAUGGGAACGUCGGUAGUUGAAAGCCCCCGGCUCAACCGGGGAAGUGGUGCCGAAACGACCCGUCUGGAGGGACGUAGGGGGACCUGGAACUUCCGGUGGAGCGGUGAAAUGCGCAGAUAUCAGGAAGAACACCUAUGGCGAAGGCAGCUCUCUGGGACGGUACUGACGCUGAGACGCGAAAGCGUGGGGAGCGAACAGG
rnacentral:rRNA from 1 species